CCAAUAGCGUAUAUUAAAGUUGUUGCAGUUAAAAAGCUCGUAGUUGAAUUUCGGAAUCAGUACGCCGGUCGUGCCUCCGGUAUGUACUGGUGUCACUGGUUCCUCCCUUCUGAAGAACCAUCAUGCCAUUUACUUGGUGUGGUGGGGAAUCAGGACUGUUACUUUGAAAAAAUUAGAGUGUUUAAAGCAGGCUCACGCUUGAAUACAUUAGCAUGGAAUAAUGAAAUAGGACGUUGAUCUUAUUUUGUUGGUUUCUAGGAUUGACGUAAUGAUUAAUAGGGAUAGUUGGGGGCAUUAGUAUUCAAUUGUCAGAGGUGAAAUUCUUGGAUUUAUUGAAGACUAACUACUGCGAAAGCAUUUGCCAAGGAUGUUUUCAUUAAUCAAGAACGAAAGUUAGGGGAUCGAAGACGAUCAGAUACCGUCGUAGUCUUAACCAUAAACUAUGCCGACUAGGGAUCGGAUGAUGUUAAUUUCUUAAUGACUCAUUCGGCGCCUUACG
rnacentral:rRNA from 1 species